GAGUUUGAUCCUGGCUCAGAUUGAACGCUGGCGGCAUGCCUUACACAUGCAAGUCGAACGGCAGCAUGAUCUAGCUUGCUAGAUUGAUGGCGAGUGGCGAACGGGUGAGUAAUACAUCGGAACGUGCCCUGUAGUGGGGGAUAACUAGUCGAAAGAUUAGCUAAUACCGCAUACGACCUGAGGGUGAAAGUGGGGGACCGCAAGGCCUCAUGCUAUAGGAGCGGCCGAUGUCUGAUUAGCUAGUUGGUGGGGUAAAGGCCCACCAAGGCGACGAUCAGUAGCUGGUCUGAGAGGACGAUCAGCCACACUGGGACUGAGACACGGCCCAGACUCCUACGGGAGGCAGCAGUGGGGAAUUUUGGACAAUGGGCGAAAGCCUGAUCCAGCAAUGCCGCGUGUGUGAAGAAGGCCUCGGUUGUAAGUA
rnacentral:rRNA from 1 species